GAGGGAAGCAGCGAGGAAACGUUUAUUGUGUGUCCUCACAGUGGCGCUCAUGACUUAUAGUAGUGACUAAUAAUGCACGUAGUGGUGUGGGUAAAGGUCCUCAGUAGCGGAAUGGUCAGGCAGUGAGUCUAAUGCCGAGGCCGCGCUCUGCUCCCUGCUGGGCAUCCUACAGGAAAACUGUCACUGUCCAGUGUGGGCGUCAGGCGUCGGCCCGUCCUGCCGCUCGCGGGCGUGUCUGGUCAGGUGUGUGGGUGUGUG